GACAGAGGGGGCAAGCGUUGUCCGGAAUUACUGGGCGUAAAGCGUGCGCAGGCGGUUUUGUAAGCCAGAUGUGAAAUCCCCGGGCUUAACCUGGGAAUGGCAUUUGGGACUGCAAGGCUCGAGUGCGGCAGAGGAGACUGGAAUUCCUGGUGUAGCAGUGAAAUGCGUAGAUAUCAGGAGGAACACCGAUGGCGAAGGCAGGUCUCUGGGCUGACACUGACGCUCAUGCACGAAAGCGUGGGGAGCAAACAGG
rnacentral:rRNA from 1 species